rnacentral:rRNA from 1 species
GACGAACGCUGGUGGCGUGCCUAAUACAUGCAAGUUGAGCGCUGAAGGUUGGUACUUGUACCAACUGGAUGAGCAGCGAACGGGUGAGUAACGCGUGGGGAAUCUGCCUUUGAGCGGGGGACAACAUUUGGAAACGAAUGCUAAUACCGCAUAAAAACUUUAAACACAAGUUUUAAGUUUGAAAGAUGCAAUUGCAUCACUCAAAGAUGAUCCCGCGUUGUAUUAGCUAGUUGGUGAGGUAAAGGCUCACCAAGGCGAUGAUACAUAGCCGACCUGAGAGGGUGAUCGGCCACAUUGGGACUGGGACACGGCCCAAACUCCUACGGGAGGCAGCAGUAGGGAAUCUUCGGCAAUGGACGAAAGUCUGACCGAGCAACGCCGCGUGAGUGAAGAAGGUUUUCGGAUCGUAAAACUCUGUUGGUAGAGAAGAACGUUGGUGAGAGUGGAAAGCUCAUCAAGUGACGGUAACUACCCAGAAAGGGACGGCUAACUACGUG